rnacentral:rRNA from 1 species
CCCAGACUCCUACGGGAGGCAGCAGUGGGGAAUAUUGCACAAUGGGGGGAACCCUGAUGCAGCGACGCCGCGUGGGUGAAGGAGCACCUCGGUGCGUAAAGCCCUAUCGGCAGGGAAGAAAAGCGAACAGGUUCGCCUGGACGGUACCUGACUAAGAAGCCCCGGCUAACUAUGUGCCAGCAGCCGCGGUAAUACGUAGGGGGCAAGCGUUAUCCGGAUUCACUGGGUGUAAAGGGAGCGUAGACGGCGACGCAGGUCUGGAGUGAAAGCCCGGGGCCCAACCCCGGGACUGCUCUGGAAACUGCGUCGCUGGAGUACGGGAGGGGCAGGCGGAAUUCCUGGUGUAGCGGUGAAAUGCGUAGAUAUUAGGAGGAACACCAGUGGCGAAGGCGGCUUACUGGACGGUAACCGACGUUGAGGCUCGAAAGCGUGGGGAGCAAACAGGAUUAGAUACCCCUGUAUCA